UACGAAGGGUGCUAGCGUUGUUCGGAAUUACUGGGCGUAAAGCGCGCGUAGGCGGCUUGUCAAGUCAGGGGUGAAAUCCCACAGCUUAACUGUGGAACUGCCUUUGAAACUAGCAGGCUUGAGUGUCGGAGGGGAUAGCGGAAUUGCUAAUGUAGAGGUGAAAUUCGUAGAUAUUAGCAGGAACACCGGUGGCGAAGGCGGCUAUCUGGACGACAACUGACGCUGAGGCGCGAAAGCGUGGGGAUCAAACAGG
rnacentral:rRNA from 1 species